CUCAUACAGGUAUUUUAAACCUAGUAUUACGUUCAAAUCCUUUUUCAAACCUAUUCAAAGUAAGUUUUCCAUUUAUAGUUAAAUUGUAAUCCACCUCCUUAAAAAAGCUGCACCUUGAUCUCAUUUUUUAAUUUAGCUUUUUCAGAUCUUCUAUAUAGAGAGGCCUAAAAGGACGGUAUACAAGCCUUAAAUAAGUAAGAAAUAAAGGGGAGUAUCUAAUUAAAGGGCAGAUUCCUCUGAGAACCCUACUUACCGCCAAGUCUUUUAGGUUUCAAGCUUAUAUCAACUACUACCUUAAAAUAUUUACUCCUAAAAAUAAAAGGGUAUCUAAUCCUUGUCUCUGCCUUAGGUUUUAGAAAGAUUAGCUUAAGUCUCCCUUUAAGUAAAAAUUUUACCUUUUUUUAAGAGAAAAAUAUAAUUCUUUUUUAAAAGAAACUUUACCCCUCUA
rnacentral:rRNA from 1 species